AAAAGAUUAAGAUUACUAUAUUUGUCACUUCCUGGCAUCUCUCUGUACUGUAUAUGAUGCCAAACCGAAAAUUGUCAAGUUUGGCUACAGUAGCCUUGCAGUGCAGUGCGGACACGCCUACGCUUUGUUCAGAGUGGUGAGAGUAGCUGAGAGCCGGACGCUGGAC